ACGGCUCAGUAACACGUGGCUAAAUCUGCCCUUGGGACCAGAAUACCCCCGGGAAACUGGGGCUAAUUCUCGAUAGGUGAAGAACUCUGGAAUGAGUCUUUGCCAAAAAGACGUUUACGUUAUGCUCGUAGGCGUUGCCCAAGGAUGAGGCCGCGACCGAUCAGGUUGUUGGUGAGGUAAUGGCUCACCAAGCCUUUUACCGGUGCGGGCCGUGAGAGCGGGAGCCCGGAGAUGGGCACUGAGACAAGGGCCCAGGCCCUACGGGGCGCAGCAGUCGCGAAAACUUUGCAAUACACGAAAGUGUGACAGGGCUAUCCCGAGUGCCAUCUGCUGAGGAAGGCUUUUACCCAGUCUAGAACGCUGGGGGAAUAAGGGGAGGGCAAGUCUGGUGUCAGCCGCCGCGGUAAUACCAGCUCUCCGAGUGGUGUGGAUGUUUAUUGGGCCUAAAGCAUCCGUAGCUGGCUGAGUUAGUCCCUUGUUAAAUCCACCGAAUUAAUCGUUGGAUUGCGGGGGAUACUGCUCGGCUAGGGGACGAGAGAGGCAGACGGUAUUUCUGGGGUAGGGGUGAAAUCCUAUAAUCCCAGGAGGACCACCAGUGGCGAAGGCUGUCUGCUAGAACGCGCCCGACGGUGAGGGAUGAAAGCUGGGGGAGCGAACCGGAUUAGAUACCCGGGUAGUCCCAGCUGUAAACGAUG
rnacentral:rRNA from 1 species